UACAUCUUGCCCGAGAUAAUUAGCUUACAUGCUGAUGACAAGGUGUGGAAGCCUGCCAGAUGCAGACCGAGGCGAUCCGCGGCGCCCUCUACUGGUCACCAAUAGAAAUGUAUCUCUACAGCCUCUUGGGGAAGCUUUGCAAGUAAUUGGGUCAUGGAAAGAAAGACUGAAUAAACACUAAGGCUUGUGUACUAGACAUGACUGGAAAAUCUGAGAACACCUAACCUUGAACAUUUGGAAAGGAGCUAGAAUAGAAGGAGCACCGGACUGUUCAACCAAUGCCUACGCAACUCUUCUUGGUUUCCCUGUAAGGUCAAAUCAUCACUGUAGGGCUCAGCAUCUUCUUUAGCGAACUUACAGACUGAGCAAUAUGAGUGACAGGCACAAGGAGGAAAGGAGAAUGCCUUUUGGUUAUUGUUAAAUGUCUUUUGGUUAUUGUGCAUGUGACCAGGGGGCCAGAGAGAGGUGAACAGGUACAGAAUUAGAAUUCUGAAAAUAAUUAAGGAGUCAUUUAGAAGACUCUACCUCCAAAUGUCUUGGAAAUAUAAGUGGUCCUGAGGGAUGCAGUUUCUCAGGCAGAUUUGAACACUAAAUAAUAUAGCCACAUCUGCAGAAA
ensembl:antisense Gm26973 predicted gene, 26973